rnacentral:lncRNA from 1 species
UAAUUUUUAUAAGAUAUAUUAUUAAAGGUAUCAAUAAUAUAUAUGUGGCAUUGAAGUUGUUAGAAGCUAAUAUUUUACAUUUUAAAUAUGUCUCUUUUGUUUGGACUUUUCUGUGUUUGAUUGUGAAACACCAUCUACUAACAUAUUAAAACAGUGUACAGAAAGUGUUGUUACAAGAAUUAAUAUUCUACUUAUGUUGAGCUUACUGAUAUUACAUUUUUCUGAGGCAGAGGGGCGUUAUUUUUAGUUUUAUAAUUUUUUAAUUUAAUAUCUCUGGAUAUUUUUCAUAUUUACUUUGCGUACAACAGUUAACAACUUUAAGCUUAUACAUUAACUUUAGUUAUAACUUAAUUUUUAAUGAUUUGAUUUAUAGAUUUUUAAAGCAAUACAAGAUUGAAUUUAGCAGAAGACUAAACUUCUGCUUUGGAGACAAAAAAGGAAGACAGCGAAAAUGACCAGCCAAAAUAAAGAUUAAAGAGACAAAAAAUUGUGUAUAUCUUAGUGUAGAUGAUUUAUCCUCAAUUUCUUAUAAUUAAACAAAAAAUAUUAUUAAACUUUGGAAUUUACCUGUAACUCUAAACUCUUUACAGAAGUUCAAUGUUUGCUCUAAGAAGUUGAAUGAACAAAAUUUAUUAAAUGAUAAAGUUGUAUCCUUGAAAGAUAUGCUAGUACUAUUGGCACAUACGAAAGCAUUGAAGUGCAACUUGGUGAAAUACAAAACACAUUAAAUUCAAUUAUAAAAAUUUGAGUAACAAAGGUAAUUUUUUUUUAUGAUCUGUUUAGGCAUUUUGUAUGAUAUCUUAGUACAACUUAUAUACGUUAAAUAAAAUACUCUUUGAAGAUUUCUUGUAAAUGACAUUUUAUAUUAAUUUAAGUCUAAACAAAAGUUACUUUAAUUAUUGCCAGGUUGUGUAUUUUUGCAGGUCAAUUAUUUGGCACAAUUUGGAGUUAAAGACAAAGAAGAUUGUAUAUGUUAUUUACUAAGAAUUGUUUAUUAAAGUGGCAUAGCUGUAAAAUUAAACUAUACAGGGAGAGGACAAAAAAUUGGAAUAGGAAAAAUGUUGAUUGCAUAUGUUGCUUUUGAAAAUGUGAAUUCAAAUAAGCAUGGCUUAUGCAGACAUGUGAUAGAGAUAGUGGAAGAAAAAUUAAUAAUCGUGGGUACUAAAUAUCAUACGCUAAACACGAUUCAACAACAAGUAGCACAGCCAAUAUCAAAACUACUCUAUAAAUUUUAUAGUGAACUUUUUUAUUUGAAACUCAAUGUGUCAGUUUUUGGUUUAAGUUAGGUGUUUGCAAUGUGUAUAUUUAACCGAGAAAUUAUGUUAAAUAAAUAAAUUUUUAUACUUGUAUCA